AUUAUACUCCCUCCGUCUGGAAAUACAUGUCGGAAAAAUGGAUGUAUCUAGAUGUAUUUUAGUUUGGGAUACAUUCAUUUUUAUCCAUUUAUCUGACAAGUAUUUUCGAACGGAGGGAGUAGUAC
rfam:Triticum aestivum genome assembly, contig: Triticum_aestivum_CS42_TGACv1_scaffold_410085_5BL